AAAGAACUGAAAUCCAGCUCAUUGACCACUGGGAAAGCUUCCAAUAAUUGCAUAGUGGAGAAGCAAAUCAGCUGGCAUAGCAUGGUAUGUAAGAGUGAGCACCUGAUGGUCAGAGACUGGAAUAAUACUGGAAUGCAGAUUUCAGAGGUGGAAGGAUUUCUUCAGUAUCCAAGGAGUACCCAAACUUUGUUCAUCUGAGAGCCACACUGACAACCUUAAUCUUUAAUAAUGAG